GGCGGAUAUUCCCACCGCGCACCUGCUUCUGCCUGACGUGUACCCGGAAGGUCGUCAGCUCAGGCUCCACAUAUGUAACAGCAGAACAGGUGGAGAGGUAUGAAGAACGAGGAACACUGCCCGGGGAGUUUCUUCCUCUGCAAAAUAAGGGAGUGUGUACUGAAUUACCGUUUCCAGCUCCAACAUCCAGGAUUUCAGCACUACCUGCAGAGUAGUGGGAGGAGAGAUAGGGUGUCACCUCUUAGCCAUCUGAGCACUGGGCUGGCUGCCAAAAACAGAGGUGAUGAUGUAACGUGCCAACUCUCACAUGGCUCAGAGGAGGAGGACCCCAGGACUCCAGGAUGGGACAGGGCAGCCACUUCUCACCAAGAAGCCAGUUGGAGUUUAUGGUUUCAUUUGCCCAAAAAUACGCCUUUGGGGACCUCAAAUUCUUUCCAAGAAUCACUACCACACAUAUUAAUUUGAACAUUUCCCACCCUUCCACCAUCCCUGUUUCUCCUGAGAGCUUCAAAAUAAAAAUGGCCUGUGU
rnacentral:lncRNA from 1 species